rnacentral:rRNA from 1 species
UUGAACGCUGGCGGCAGGCCUAACACAUGCCAGUCGAGCGGAUGAAGGGAGCUUGCUCCUGGAUUCAGCGGCGGACGGGUGAGUAAUGCCUAGGAAUCUGCCUGGUAGUGGGGGAUAACGUCCGGAAACGGGCGCUAAUACCGCAUACGUCCUGAGGGAGAAAGUGGGGGAUCUUCGGACCUCACGCUAUCAGAUGAGCCUAGGUCGGAUUAGCUAGUUGGUGGGGUAAAGGCCUACCAAGGCGACGAUCCGUAACUGGUCUGAGAGGAUGAUCAGUCACACUGGAACUGAGACACGGUCCAGACUCCUACGGGGGGCAGCAGUGGGGAAUAUUGGACAAUGGGCGAAAGCCUGAUCCAGCCAUGCCGCGUGUGUGAAGAAGGUCUUCGGAUUGUAAAGCACUUUAAGUUGGGAGGAAGGGCAGUAAGUUAAUACCUUGCUGUUUUGACGUUACCAACAGAAUAAGCACCGGCUAACUUCGUG